rnacentral:misc_RNA from 1 species
AAAGGGCGAUACAUGAUGCGAUCUGCGGGAAUCUGCGAGUCAUCCAGUCUUUGAAUGCAUGUUGCGCCUCGUGAGAGGCAUGUCUGUUUGAGAGCGAGAGAGAAAGUUUUUUAGAUGGAACAGAUGUUCUUGAAAGAGAUUUUGCGUGUGCAGGACAAGAGUGGUGUGGUGUAGAGUGCGAUGCGCGACAACACUGCUGCAGCAACACACACCGCAAUAACAAGAGAAUAGAAUUAGCACGCCUCAAAUCAGACAAGACUACCCGCUGAACUUAA